CGGCAACAGCUCAAAUUUGAAAUCUGGCCUCUUUUGGGGUCCGAGUUGUAAUUUGUAGAAGAUGCUUCGGGUGAGGCUCUGGUCUAAGUUCCUUGGAACAGGACGUCAUAGAGGGUGAGAAUCCCGUACGUGCCCGGUGGCCGCCCCCGUGUGAAGCUCCUUCGAC
rnacentral:rRNA from 1 species